rnacentral:rRNA from 1 species
GGACGAACGCUGGCGGCGUGCCUACUCCAUGCAAGUCGAACGCUGAAGAGAGGAGCUUGCUCUUCUUGGAUGAGUUGCGAACGGGUGAGUAACGCGUAGGUAACCUGCCUUGUAGCGGGGGAUAACUAUUGGAAACGAUAGCUAAUACCGCAUAACAAUGGAUGACACAUGUCAUUUAUUUGAAAGGGGCAAUUGCUCCACUACAAGAUGGACCUGCGUUGUAUUAGCUAGUAGGUGAGGUAAUGGCUCACCUAGGCGACGAUACAUAGCCGACCUGAGAGGGUGAUCGGCCACACUGGGACUGAGACACGGCCCAGACUCCUACGGGAGGCAGCAGUAGGGAAUCUUCGGCAAUGGGGGCAACCCUGACCGAGCAACGCCGCGUGAGUGAAGAAGGUUUUCGGAUCGUAAAGCUCUGUUGUAAGUCAAGAACGGGUGUGAGAGUGGAAAGUUCACACUGUGACGGUAGCUUACCAGAAAGGGACGGCUAACUACGUG